rnacentral:rRNA from 1 species
UGCAAGUCGUACGGAGUAAUAGCAAUAUUAUUGAGUGGCGGACGGGUGAGUAACGCGUAGGAAUCUACCCUGAAGUGCGGUAUAACCAUUGGAAACGAUGGUUAAUCCCGCAUAUGAAAUUUUUUGAAAGAGCAAUCGCUUCAGGAUGAGCUUGCGUCUGAUUAGCUAGUUGGUGAGGUAAAGGCUCACCAAGGCGAUGAUCAGUAACUGGUUUGAGAGAAUGGCCAGUCACACUGGGACUGAGACACGGCCCAGACUCCCGCGGGAGGCAGCAGUGGGGAAUUUUUCGCAAUGGGCGCAAGCCUGACGGAGCAAUACUGCGUGGAGGAUGAAGGCUUGUGGGCUGUAAACUCCUCUUCCCAGAGAAGAAGUUCUGACGGUAUCUGGGGAAUAAGCAUUGGCUAACUACGUGCCAGCAGCUGCGGUAAUACGUGGAAUGCAAGCGUUAUCCGGAUUUAUUGGGCGUAAAGCGUCUGUAGGUGGCUUCGCAAGUUUGCUGUUAAAUUGUUCGGCUCAACCGAAUCCCAGCAGCAAAAACUAUGAAGCUUGAGUGCGGUAGAGGAAAAGGGAAUUCCCUGUGGAGCGGUGAAAUGCGUAGAGAUAGGGAAGAACACCAACGGCGAAAGCACUUUUCUGGGCCUGCACUGACACUGAGAGACGAAAGCUAGGGGAGCGACUGGGAUUAGAUACCCCAUUAGUCCUAGCCGUAAACGAUGGAAACUACAUUUUGGGAUUUUAUAUUUUUCAGAAUGGUAGCUAACGCGUUAAGUUUCCCGCCUGGGAAGUAUGCUCGCAAGAGUGAAACUCAAAGGAAUUGACGGGAGCCCGCACAAGCGGUGGAUUAUGCGGUUUAAUUCGAUGCACACGAAGACCUUACCAGGGUUUGACAUGUCACGAUGAGAGAGAAAACUUUCCGUGCUUACCCCUCGGGGUUUGAUGUGAACACAGGUGGUGCAU